rnacentral:rRNA from 1 species
AAUCAACGCUGGCGGCGUGCCUCAGACAUGCAAGUCGAACGAUUAAAGCUCUCUUCGGAGAGUGUAUAGAGUGGCGCACGGGUGAGUAACACGUAAGUAAUCUACCUUUGAGUGGGGAAUAACAGUCGGAAACGGCUGCUAAUACCGCAUAACGCAGCGGCACCGCAAGGUGACAGUUGUUAAAGGAGCAAUCCGCUUAAAGAGGAGCUUGCGGCAGAUAGUCUUGUUGGUAAGGUAACGGCUUACCAAGGCUACGAUCUGUAUCCGGUCUAAGAGGACGGUCGGACACACUGACACUGAAUAACGGGUCAGACUCCUACGGGAGGCAGCAGUCGGGAAUUUUGGGUCAAUGGGCGAAAGCCUGACCCAGCAACGCCGCGUGAAGG